AUUCUCAACAUUAAACUGAGCAUGCAUACUAAAAUGGGAAUGAUACAGAGAACAUCAGCAUGUCCCUUAUACAAUGAUGAAGCAUGAAUUCAUGAAGCAUUAAAAAAAACU